GUAGGGUAGGGCUCAGUGGUAGAGCACGUGCUUAGCAUGCGCGAGGUCCUGGGAUCAAUCCCCAGUUCCUCCA
rfam:Camelus ferus unplaced genomic scaffold scaffold875, whole genome shotgun sequence.